AAAGAAACCAACCGGGAUUGCCUCAGUAACGGCGAGUGAAGCGGCAAAAGCUCAAAUUUGAAAUCUGGCCCCUUCGGGGUCCGAGUUGUAAUUUGCAGAGGAUGCUUCGGGUGUGGCCCCUGUCUAAGUGCCCUGGAACGGGCCGUCAUAGAGGGUGAGAAUCCCGUAUGGGAUGGGGUGCCCACGCCCGUGUGAAGCUCCUUCGACGAGUCGAGUUGUUUGGGAAUGCAGCUCUAAAUGGGUGGUAAAUUUCAUCUAAAGCUAAAUACUGGCCGGAGACCGAUAGCGCACAAGUAGAGUGAUCGAAAGAUGAAAAGCACUUUGAAAAGAGAGUUAAACAGCACGUGAAAUUGUUGAAAGGGAAGCGCUUGCGACCAGACUCGCCCGCGGGGUUCAGCCGGCAUUCGUGCCGGUGUACUUCCCCGUGGGCGGGCCAGCGUCGGUUUGGGCGGCCGGUCAAAGGCCUCCGGAAUGUACCGCCUCUUCGGGGGCGACUUAUAGCCGGGGGUGCAAUGCGGCCUGCCUGGACCGAGGAACGCGCUUCGGCUCGGACGCUGGCAUAAUGGUCGUAAGCGAC
rnacentral:rRNA from 1 species